GGUUCAGUGCGGCCUAGUGGUUUGAGCAUUGGACUACAACUCUGGAAACCAGGGUUCGAUUCCCAACUCGACCA